rnacentral:misc_RNA from 1 species
GUGAGUCAUCGAAUCUUUGAACGCACAUUGCGCCCUUUGGUAUUCCGAAGGGCAUGCCCGUUCGAGCGUCAUUAAAUCCAAUCAAGCCUGGCUUGGUAUUGGGCGUCGGGGGUUCCCCCGAGUCUCAAUUUCACCGGCUGGCCGUCGCCCGUCGUAGCGUUGUGAUAUACCUCUCGCUAUCGAUGGGACCGGAUCAUGCCGUUAGAAUCUCGCGAAUUUCAAUCGAAAUUUGAUUAAGGUUGACCUCGGAUCGGGUAGGAAUACCCGCUGAACUUAAGCAUAUCAAUAAGCGGAGGA